rfam:Beta vulgaris subsp. vulgaris Bvchr7_un.sca005.con0028.1, whole genome shotgun sequence.
AUACCUUUCUCGGCCUUUUGGCUAAGAUCAAGUGUAGUAUCUGUUCUUAUCAGUUUAAUAUCUGAUAUGUGGGCCAUUGGCCUACAACGAUAUUAAAUUUAUUUUUUAAGGAGGAAGAUCCAUUACAGUAGCUUGCUACUGGGUUCUUCGAGCGUCGCUUGAGUGUUGCACUACUGUACGGGCCUGGCGCACCCCUC